CCUUGGGUGGCACAGAAUGACACAGUCACACCAGGAGUUUGGUACACACAGAAAGGGGGGACGGUGUACGCCAUUGUGCUCAACUGGCCACAACCAGGUCAACUCAUCCUUGGAUCAGCUUUGCCAAAAACUGGAAUGAAAGUCAGCCUUCUUGGCUACACUGAAGGCUCCUUCUCCUGGCAGAAUGCUUCACCCAAAGGAAUCAGCAUUACAAUCCCUCCCAUCCCUGUCAACCAGAUGCCAUGUCAGUGGGCAUGGGUCUUCGCAAUGACAUAAACGGUUAAGAUCAGAAAAAUAUGGUUGACAAUGGGAUGGUUGACAAAUGGUUGACAAAUGAGGUGGGCCUUCACAAUGAUAUACAUGUUGACAAUUGAAUAGUGGACCUUUUCAAUAACAUAAUUUGUUGACAAUGACAUGUCCAGUUAAUGGGAUGAAUCUUCAAAAUGAAAUGGCUGAUAAUGGGAUGUACCAAAUGGACAUGUUUAAAUUUGCUAUUUAACUUAAAUUCAUGAGCUUCAAAUGUUGUUGUUUUCAUAAUAAAGUUAAUGCUGCUUGUACUGCAUAUAUGAACAUU